UGCUCUUCUGAUCUUGGGGCACUACCUCGCUCUUACUUCUCAGCUGCACUCAGUCGUUUGGACUUAAUGAAG